ACGAACGCUGGCGGCGUGCCUAAUACAUGCAAGUUGAGCGCUGAAGGUUGGUACUUGUACCGACUGGAUGAGCAGCGAACGGGUGAGUAACGCGUGGGGAAUCUGCCUUUGAGCGGGGGACAACAUUUGGAAACGAAUGCUAAUACCGCAUAAAAACUUUAAACACAAGUUUUAAGUUUGAAAGAUGCAAUUGCAUCACUCAAAGAUGAUCCCGCGUUGUAUUAGCUAGUUGGUGAGGUAAAGGCUCGCCAAGGCGAUGAUACAUAGCCGACCUGAGAGGGUGAUCGGCCACAUUGGGACUGAGACACGGCCCAAACUCCUACGGGAGGCAGCAGUAGGGAAUCUUCGGCAAUGGACGAAAGUCUGACCGAGCAACGCCGCGUGAGUGAAGAAGGUUUUCGGAUCGUAAAACUCUGUUGGUAGAGAAGAACGUUGGUGAGAGUGGAAAGCUCAUCAAGUGACGGUAACUACCCAGAAAGGGACGGCUAACUACGUG
rnacentral:rRNA from 1 species